rfam:Aedes aegypti strain Liverpool supercont1.27 genomic scaffold, whole genome shotgun sequence.
CAAUCGGCCCUUUUCAGGGCCAACAUUCGUUGUUAAAAAGGUUUGU